rnacentral:misc_RNA from 1 species
AUGAUAGCGAGCAUAGCUUGUACGCUUUGAGCUGGACGCUCGAUCAUUUCUUCGUUCCCUUCGUUUCUAAUUCUCCUUUCAAGCUUGUUGUUCUCCACGCCAAACCCUAUGCUGCUACUGCUGUCGGUCUACCUGGACCUGCGGCUGCUGAGAUUUUACCGUCUCUGGAGUCGGAUUUGAAGAGGAUAGCUGCUAGAGUUAUUGAGAAGGCUAAGGAAAUCUGCACCAGUAAAUCGGUGAAUGAUGUGAUAUAUGAAGUGGUAGAGGGUGAUGCAAGGAAUGUUCUCUGUGAUGCUGUAGAGAAACACCAUGCUUCAGUAUUGGUUGUGGGUAGUCACGGUUAUGGAGCUAUUAAAAGGGCGGUGCUAGGCAGUGUGAGUGACUACUGUGCUCAUCAUGCUCACUGCAGCGUGAUGAUUGUGAAGAAGCC